rnacentral:antisense_RNA from 1 species
CUCUAUGGGCGGGCUGGACAGGGAGCCGCAAGGCUCGCCGGUGCGAUCCCGGUAGUCCAACCUGUUCAGUUCCGCCCACCACG